UCAAACACGAUACCCCCCCCCUCCUCUGGAAUAUAAAGAGAGUGAAACUGAAGCCGUGCGGGAGAUAAGGCGGCAGCACCGGGCAGCUCAUAUGGAAUUACCGCAGUGACCUUGAGCGGGAGGCGGCCAGAAGUUCUUACACCACCCGCUUGCCCUGUGCCACCAGGCUCCUGCCUUGGAAGGGAAGGAGACGCCAGCAUGGGACAUUCUUCCGGGGUACGUGACUGACGUGAAACUCCCAUCUACCUGGUUUUGUAUCAACAAAUCUUCCUGUGAGCAGAGAUAUACAUGGAGCCUAGUUUCUAUAGGCUGAACUGGAGGCACGGAUCUUGUGAAUGGGCUUUGUGAUCUUUUAAGGUAAAGCUAUGAAAUACAAGUAUUCCUGCCUUUGAGACAAUCACGUUGCCUCUAUAACAUGCAGUCUCCCUCUUGUCUAGAAACAGAUGGCUUGAGCUGUUUGAGUUGGGCAUAUUCACAAGCUGAUAAUCAUCUCCAGGGAGGCAGGAGCUAUUGUCAGAGCCUGUGAGACACACCCCAACUUCAGGCCUUUUUCCUCCUAAUUCUCAAAAUGUUGCUGAAAUUCUCACUACAGGAAUGCUGAGCAGAGACAUUCCCUUUGUGGGUCUGUGCCCACUGAGCCAGAGGAGGCUCCUGGCUUCCACAAAAGCCAAAACGCUUCCCCACACCCUGCUAAGAGAAAGCAUCUGGAAACAUGAAGGGCCUCACCUGGCCAGCAAAGAAAAAAAUAAGCUGCACUUUGCCAUGGUACUGCUGGGAGCCAAGGGGAACAUAUCCUUUCCCCAGAGACAGCACAUGAGUUAAAAUGAGAAAACAAAAUAAAACAAUUCUGCAGGAGGAACAGUUAUGUUACACUCCAUGCAGCUCCAAGACGCGUGUCAGUGUGGCUGCCAAGGUAAAGGAGCACGUGCCUGAGGCACACACGCCUGGUGCAACUGCGCAGCCACGUACAGGAUUUGUAACAGCGAUGCUCAGCAUGGAUACACAUCUGCUGCGUAAGAACCCCAAAGGUAUCACAAACCUCAAUUAAUAAUCUGCACUGAUGUCAUUUCUCCACAGGGCCAAAGCCUUUUUUGGGAAUGCUGUCCAGCUACUUUAGCAGGAAGACAGCUCUUUAAUGACACAUGCCAGGUCUCCCUUGAUGCCAGGUCUAAAAGAGCCCCUGCACCCAGCUCAUUCUGCCUUGGAAAGCUGCUCCGACCCAAGCCCGGCUGCAGAGCACACGACACUCAGACCUGGGAUGCCUCCACAGAAAGCUCCAUUCCAGCUGCAAUGCACAAAGAAACCCAGACAGAAAGCAGUGAUAAGCCCAGACACACAUGCUGGCAGAGACAGGAGGGGUGGCUCUAACAAGGCCUUACCAUGCUCACAAUAUUUACGGCAUGAAUUUCACUCAUUUGAAUUCAAGAGCGGUUAGUCUUGGAAGGCAGCAAGAAACAGUUGGAUCAGAAUGGGGCAGAACUGGAUGGAAAGAGAUGGCAAGAUGAGCACAAGAAAUAAAGUCAUGGGUGCAAAACCAA